UAUUACUGGAGGAAGGUGGGGAUGACGUCAAAUCAUCAUGCCCCUUAUGACCUGGGCUACACACGUGCUACAAUGGACAGAACAAAGGGCUGCGAGACCGCAAGGUUUAGCCAAUCCCAUAAAUCUGUUCUCAGUUCGGAUCGCAGUCUGCAACUCGACUGCGUGAAGCUGGAAUCGCUAGUAAUCGCGGAUCAGCAUGCCGCGGUGAAUACGUUCCCGGGCCUUGUACACACCGCCCGUCACACCACGAGAGUUUGUAACACCCGAAGUCGGUGAGGUAACCUUUAUGGAGCCAGCCGCCGAAGGUGGGACAGAUGAUUGGGGUGAAGUCGAAGCAGGC
rnacentral:rRNA from 1 species